AUGCUCGCUUCUGCAGCACGUACACUAAAACUGGAGCAGUACAGAGAAGCUCAGCAUGCCCCCCGCACGAGGAUGACACACAAAUUCGUGAAGCCUUCCAUAUUUUU
ensembl:snRNA U6 U6 spliceosomal RNA